GAAUUUGGAUUGACAGGCAGCUAAACAUGAGCCAGUGUGUGCCCAGCUGGGCAAGAAGGCCAGUGGUACCUGGCCUGUGUCAGAAAUAGUG